AUGAACGCUAGCUACAGGCUUAACACAUGCAAGUCGAGGGGCAGCAUGGUCUUAGCUUGCUAAGACUGAUGGCGACCGGCGCACGGGUGAGUAACACGUAUCCAACCUGCCGUCUACUCUUGGACAGCCUUCUGAAAGGAAGAUUAAUACAAGAUGGCAUCAUGAGUCCGCAUGUUCACAUGAUUAAAGGUAUUCCGGUAGACGAUGGGGAUGCGUUCCAUUAGAUAGUAGGCGGGGUAACGGCCCACCUAGUCUUCGAUGGAUAGGGGUUCUGAGAGGAAGGUCCCCCACAUUGGAACUGAGACACGGUCCAAACUCCUACGGGAGGCAGCAGUGAGGAAUAUUGGUCAAUGGGCGAGAGCCUGAACCAGCCAAGUAGCGUGAAGGAUGACUGCCCUAUGGGUUGUAAACUUCUUUUAUAAAGGAAUAAAGUCGGGUAUGCAUACCCGUUUGCAUGUACUUUAUGAAUAAGGAUCGGCUAACUCCGUGCCAGCAGCCGCGGUAAUACGGAGGAUCCGAGCGUUAUCCGGAUUUAUUGGGUUUAAAGGGAGCGUAGAUGGAUGUUUAAGUCAGUUGUGAAAGUUUGCGGCUCAACCGUAAAAUUGCAGUUGAUACUGGAUGUCUUGAGUGCAGUUGAGGCAGGCGGAAUUCGUGGUGUAGCGGUGAAAUGCUUAGAUAUCACGAAGAACUCCGAUUGCGAAGGCAGCCUGCUAAGCUGCAACUGACAUUGAGGCUCGAAAGUGUGGGUAUCAAACAGGAUUAGAUACCCUGGUAGUCCACACGGUAAACGAUGAAUACUCGCUGUUUGCGAUAUACAGCAAGCGGCCAAGCGAAAGCGUUAAGUAUUCCACCUGGGGAGUACGCCGGCAACGGUGAAACUCAAAGGAAUUGACGGGGGCCCGCACAAGCGGAGGAACAUGUGGUUUAAUUCGAUGAUACGCGAGGAACCUUACCCGGGCUUAAAUUGCAGAUGAAUUACGGUGAAAGCCGUAAGCCGCAAGGCAUCUGUGAAGGUGCUGCAUGGUUGUCGUCAGCUCGUGCCGUGAGGUGUCGGCUUAAGUGCCAUAACGAGCGCAACCCUUGUUGUCAGUUACUAACAGGUCAUGCUGAGGACUCUGACAAGACUGCCAUCGUAAGAUGUGAGGAAGGUGGGGAUGACGUCAAAUCAGCACGGCCCUUACGUCCGGGGCUACACACGUGUUACAAUGGGGGGGUACAGAGGGCCGCUACCACGCGAGUGGAUGCCAAUCCCCAAAACCUCUCUCAGUUCGGACUGGAGUCUGCAACCCGACUCCACGAAGCUGGAUUCGCUAGUAAUCGCGCAUCAGCCACGGCGCGGUGAAUACGUUCCCGGGCCUUGUACACACCGCCCGUCAAGCCAUGGGAGCCGGGGGUACCUGAAGUGCGUAACCGCGAGGAGCGCCCUAGGGUAAAACUGGUGACUGGGGCU
rnacentral:rRNA from 1 species